ensembl:lncRNA
AUGGCAAAACACAGGCGCAGCAGCCGGAGAGCCAAGAAAGCCCCUGGGGAAGGSGGCCGAGGGGGUUUUCAGGCACGGGAUGCUCCAACUGCUCUGGAGCGGGGCCGUGCUGGAGCCUUCCAAGCUCAUUUCGGARGCAGGGACGUUUCCAAGGCCCAGGGGGUUAUUUCCCACCUGGGAACCRUGUGGGAGCCUGCGGAUGCUCCUCCGGAGGGUGGAAAGGUGCAAGCUGAACCGCUGCGAGCYGGGCGCCCCUUCCUUGCUCGGGAUAGCCGGAGAGGGGGAGACGGCAGCCGGGAGCAUUGGCGGGCGAGCGGCGGUGGGCUCACGCUGGAAACCCCCAGGAGCGAGCGUCGCGGGCUCGGGCCACGCACGGAGGCGGACGCGUGUCCUCGGCUGGCGGAGGGAAGGGUGACGCCGCGCUGGGGAAGCGGCCGCCACUUCCUCCUGCCACCACGCACCCUUUUAGGUCCCCUUCGUCCUGCGAAGGGCGGGCCGGGCCUCCCGGAGCUCUGCCGCAGCCCAGGCCUGGCUCGGCGAGCAGAGGCCGGAGCUGCGGGGUCCCGGGGGAAGCAACGGGGUCCUCGGCCCCCCCAGCAGCAGACGGCCCCGCAGGAAGAGCCUUUGCCGGGCACGUGGAGCAGCGGCCGGGCAGCGCAGGGGUGGUUUAAAGCCCAGCUGCCCCCGACCCGCGAGGCUGCUAUGGGCCAAAGCACAAAACCGACCUGCCGAAACCUCGGCGCCCAGCUUCCCUCCGCGCCCUGCACGCACGCCGGGAUCUCCCUGCGCGCCCUCCUCUCCGAGGAGGAUUUUACUUGCUUGCCCAGGGCUCGCAGCAGCGGCGGCCGCUUCAAGGGGGGUGUUUUAAUUAAAAGAAAAAAAAUCAACGCGAGGGCCAGCGGGCAGCGUUCCGGGCGGGAGGGAGGAAGAUGCUCCCAAGCAGCCCCCCAAAGGCAGCACCUGCCGCACAGCGUAAGCCGGGCGCCCGCCCGGUGCCACGACGGCAGGGAGCCCGGCCGGGCACCCGCGGCCCCUCGCCCGCACCUGGGCCGCCGCCGCCGCCGAGCGCGGCUCAGCCCGGGCCGGGAAACACCCGCGGGGCAAAGGCACCGGCGACUCGCGGCCUUGCUCGGCGGCCCGAGGGGGAGGUCGGGGCUCUUCGGCCUCGACGCCCGGCCCGCUCGCGGGGGAACCGGCGGGGUGUCGGCACCG